GUGGGUGUGGCUCAAGUAGUAGAGCACCUGCCUGGCAAGCAUGAGGCCCUGAGUUCAAAUCCCAGCACCAUG
rnacentral:tRNA from 1 species